rnacentral:rRNA from 1 species
UACAUAGGGGGCGAGCGUUAUCCGGAAUUAUUGGGUGUAAAGGGUGCGUAGACGGGAAAUUAAGUUAGUUGUGAAAACCCCAGGCUCAACUUGGGACGUGCAACUAAAACUGAUAUUCUUGAGUACUGGAGAGGAAAGUGGAAUUCCUAGUGUAGCGGUGAAAUGCGUAGAUAUUAGGAGGAACACCAGUGGCGAAGGCGACUUUCUGGACAGAAACUGACGUUGAGGCACGAAAGUGUGGGGAGCAA